GAUUCUGCCAGUGCCUGAUGUCACGUGAAGAAUCAAGCAGCGCGGGUAACGGCGCGGGAGUACUAUGACUCUCUUAGGUAGCAAUGCUCGUCAUCUAAUUAGUGACGCGCUAAUGGAUUAAACGAGAUUCCCCCGUSCCUUUUUUUUUUUUUUUGAAACCACAGCCAAGGGAACGGGGCUUGGAAGAAUAACCGGGGGAAAGAAGACCCUGUUGAGCUUGACUCUAGUCUGGCAUUGUAAGGAGACAUGAGAGGUGUAGCAUAAGUGGGAGAUCGCUCGCGGUCGUCGCUGAAAAACCACUACUUUCAUUGUUUCAUUACUUACUCGGUUGGGCGGAAGCGGUGCGCGGUCGAUUAUAUCGGCGGGCGCACGGUGUUUCGUUCCAAGCGUGUAGAGUGGUGACGUGGCGGCAACGCUCGUCACCGUUAAACUCCCGCGUGAUCCGGUUCGAGGACACUGUCAGGCUGGGAGUUUGACUGGGGCGGUACAUCUGUCAAAAGAUUAACGCAGGUGUCCUAAGGCCAGCUCAGCGAGGACAGAAACCUCGCGUGGAGCAAAGGGGCCAAAAGGCUGGGCUUUAAUCCCAAAAAGUGUCCAGUACGCAUAGGGACUGCGAAACCCCGGCCUAUCGAUCCUUUAGUAUAAAGAGUUUUUAGCAGAGGUGCCAGAAAAGUUACCACAGGGAUAACUGGCUUGUGCAGCCAAGCGUUCAUAGCGACGUGCUUUUAUCCUUCAUGUCGCUCUCCAUCUCC
rnacentral:rRNA from 1 species